GGACUACUGGGGUUUCUAAUCCUGUUUGCUCCCCACGCUUUCGAGCCUCAACGUCAGUGGCAGUCCAGUAAGCCGCCUUCGCCGCCGGUGUUCCUCCUGAUAUCUACGCAUUUCACCGCUACACCAGGAAUUCCGCUUACCUCUCCUGCACUCAAGCAUGACAGUUUCCACAGCAGGCCCUUGGUUGAGCCAUGGGAUUUCACUGCGGACUUAUCAGGCCGUCUACGCUCCCUUUACACCCAGUAAAUCCGGAUAACGCUUGCCCCCUACGUAUUACCGCGGCUGCUGGCAC
rnacentral:rRNA from 1 species